rnacentral:rRNA from 1 species
UACGUAGGGGGCUAGCGUUGUCCGGAAUCAUUGGGCGUAAAGCGCGUGUAGGCGGUCCGGUAAGUCCGCUGUGAAAGUCGGGGGCUCAACCCUCGAAAUGCCGGUGGAUACUGUCGGGCUAGAGUGCGGAAGAGGCGAGUGGAAUUCCGUGGUGUAGCGGUGAAAUGCGCAGAUAUCAGGAGGAACACCAAUUGCGAAGGCAGCUCGCUGGGACGUUACUGACGCUGAGACGCGAAAGCGUGGGGAGCAAACAGG